rnacentral:rRNA from 1 species
UACGUAGGGUGCUAGCGUUGUCCGGAAUUAUUGGGCGUAAAGAGCUCGUAGGCGGUCUGUCGCGUCUGCUGUGAAAACUCGGGGCUUAACCCCGGGCCUGCAGUGGGUACGGGCAGACUAGAGUGCGGUAGGGGAGACUGGAAUUCCUGGUGUAGCGGUGAAAUGCGCAGAUAUCAGGAGGAACACCGGUGGCGAAGGCGGGUCUCUGGGCCGUAACUGACGCUGAGGAGCGAAAGCGUGGGGAGCGAACAGG